UGAAUUUGACAUUGAAACACUCAGAUUGCAGACUUCUUGGCUUGCCUACUAAUAAUAAAGUGGAAUAGAAAUCUGUCAUUUGUUUUUAGUCUGCUGCCUUGUAACUUAAUUGAUCCGAAUAAUUGGAUCUCAAAAUUAAUAUUUGGAUACCACCACAACGACCAAAUAUUCGGAUAUUCGGGUUCCACCAUGAGUUCAUUCCUACGUUCUCCAAUGGUCAGCUUUUCCUUCUGAAACUUAAUGGAUGUGGUCUUCAAAAUGUUGCCACUGUCAAGCAUGUUGGCCAAAAAGCAUUGUCGUGGCUGGAAAUAGUGUUGAUAUUUUUAAGUGUUUAAUGCCUCCAUGCAGACCAUCUAGUAUUAUGAAACCUCCCCUGUUCCACAAAAAGUGCCAUUCCCUUCACAGUUUUUGCUUACCUUUUUGUCAGUAUAACUGCAGCAGCUUGACUGUGUAGUCAGUGUAAUAUCUGACAGUAUGGAAUGUUGUGAUCAGCUGAUUUUGUGCUGUUCUCUAGUGUGUGGGCAGUGCGCAUAAUGUGGACACGGGAGUCUCCCAGAGCUGCUAUAGUUCUGGCAGUGUCGUUUUACAGAGACAUUGUGCACCCAGUGACCAACUUUGUCGUCAAGUCAUCAAAGACUGCAUCCUGGAAAAUCUUCACAAGUCCUUCUGUUACGGCCUGCACAUUUCAGUCAGUACCAUAGACUGUAUAAUAAAGAUGGACGUAGCGACUGGCUCCAAAAAUGAAGCCUACCCGGCAGUGUCAAAAACCUGCAAUAUCACACCAUCUGCUAGGGACUGGCUCCAAAAAGCUCUGGCUCCAAAGACUCCAAUUCUACACAGGAACAGCAAAAAUUUGAUAGACUGCUUUUCUACUGGUCAAGAUUUUUUUUACAUUAGUUUUCAUAGUCAAAGCGAAAGAUCAGGUGGCCGAUCUUAAAAUAUGUCAAUAUUUAAUUUUUAUAUAGAAAGUUAAAGUUUGCGAAGUCACUUAAUUGACAGUGUGGUCUGAAAUGAUUGACAGGUUGUCUGGAUGAGGCAGGAUAGACACUCACCGUAAACACUGUUCUUCUCCUUUGGAUUAAUUCUGAUAUAACUGUCAGUUUAUUUGUCGGUGGAGCAGCAGAACCACAGAUAGUUUUUCUGCCCAUUGGCUUGUUUUAACCAGUUUUCUACCUUCGGCUGAUUCUACCAGCAGACACUGAAAGGACUCUGAUCUGUUCGGUGUCUCAUUUUCACUGUGAGGAUCUUCUGAGUGAAGCCAACAGAAGACAAACCUCAUCUGUUUGUGAAGAAGGAGACUGAAUAGAGGACAGCCUCAGUUAACCACUUCCAGUUUAACUUUCACUUUCAAAAGCACAGACCAGCUCUUUCAGCAGUUUAUUCUUUGUUUUUAGUAUUCACAGGUUCCAUUUAUCACCUUUAACUUCAUCUCUGCUGUUAUAGCGUAAAUAAAUAUAAAAAGUCCAUGUUAUGUAUAGCAGAUAUGCUGCAUUAAAACAUCAACACAUUCA